GCGGAUGUGGCCCAACGGUAGGGCAUCUGCUUCCCAAGCAGAGGGUUGCGGGUUCGAAUCCCGUCAUCCGCU
rnacentral:tRNA from 1 species